CCAGGAGAAAGCUCCCAUGGAGCUCUAGCCCUAAAUCCAACAAAUCUCUCAAAUUGAAGCUCAAAUCAAACCCAAAUCGUCUGCAUGUUUACAAAUUCGUGAUCACCUAGUCAUGGGGAUUACAAGUUUGACGAUUAACAAGCUAGGUGAAAGCUUGGAAACGAAGCGGGUCAAACGAAGCAGGAAUGACGGAAAGGCAUAAUUUGGAAGUAAGGUAUAUUUACAGUACCGGAGGAUGAUCAAGCUCAACGAAGAACCGAAC